AGACGCCUGAGUAAAUCACGUUAAACACCCCCGGACACGGGGCUAAACCAAAUGAAAAUUACUCCAUGUCUUUGGUUGGGGCGACCGCGGGGAACCAAAAAACCCCCACGUGGACUGGAAUUAUGCAAUUCCACAACUAAGAGCCCCCGCUCUAGUUAACAGUAUCACUGACCAAUUAAGAUCCGGCAGAGCCGAUCAACGAACCGAGUUACCCUAGGGAUAACAGCGCAAUCCCCUUUUAGAGCCCAUAUCGACAAGGGGGUUUACGACCUCGAUGUUGGAUCAGGACAUCCUAAUGGUGCAGCCGCUAUUAAG
rnacentral:rRNA from 1 species